UACAGAGGGUGCGAGCGUUGUUCGGAAUUAUUGGGCGUAAAGCGCUUGUAGGCGGCACGUCAAGUCGCGUGUGAAAUCCCCAGGCUUAACCUGGGAAGUGCGCGCGAAACUGACGAGCUUGAGUGCCGGAGAGGGUCGCGGAAUUCCCGGUGUAGAGGUGAAAUUCGUAGAUAUCGGGAGGAACACCAGUGGCGAAGGCGGCGACCUGGACGGACACUGACGCUGAGACGCGAAAGCGUGGGGAGCAAACGGG
rnacentral:rRNA from 1 species